GUGGGGAAUUUUGGACAAUGGGCGCAAGCCUGAUCCAGCCAUUCCGCGUGCAGGAUGAAGGCCUUCGGGUUGUAAACUGCUUUUGUACGGAACGAAAAGGUUCUCUCUAAUACAGGGGGCUGAUGACGGUACCGUAAGAAUAAGCACCGGCUAACUACGUGCCAGCAGCCGCGGUAAUACGUAGGGUGCAAGCGUUAAUCGGAAUUACUGGGCGUAAAGCGUGCGCAGGCGGUUUUGUAAGACAGGCGUGAAAUCCCCGGGCUCAACCUGGGAAUUGCGCUUGUGACUGCAAGGCUGGAGUGCGGCAGAGGGGGAUGGAAUUCCGCGUGUAGCAGUGAAAUGCGUAGAUAUGCGGAGGAACACCGAUGGCGAAGGCAGUCCCCUGGGCCUGUACUGACGCUCAUGCACGAAAGCGUGGGGAGCAAACAGGAUUAGAUACCCUGGUAGUCC
rnacentral:rRNA from 1 species